GGACUAGUAAUUUUCUAAAGGGCAAAUCCGUCAAUUUCCCUCCAAUCUCACUAAGGCCGAUACAUCUCCUGUUCACCCUCACCGUCGGGUCGGUUCCUCGAUCGUUCCCCUCUCGGUUCGAAGCAGAAGGGUAGGAUAGGGUGGGUUGGCAGAGGGGGUCGGGGAGGAUGGCCGCUUGGGCGAGGAGGCGGAGCCAAUGACCCCGGCGGUGGCGGCGGCGGAGUGGCCCCAGGGGCUGGAGGACCGGCGUCUGUUGCGGACCCGGUUCCUGGCCGUCAAGAGCCAGAUCGAGCGCACGGCGGUGGUAGCCGUCCAGAGGAAGAGGAAGAGCACCCUGCGCCGGUUCGGCGGCCGUGGCGUCACGGAGAGGAGGCGGAGAGAAAGGCCACCGGUGGCCCCGUGAAGGUCGAGGAGGCCGCCGCCUCGUCGUGCUCACCUCGAUCCACUUUUUCUCGCAUGUGUUCGGUGAGGGCAGAGGAAAUAGCAGAGGAUCACGUCGACGUCGACGCCCGGGGGGUCGAAGGGAGGGGCGGCGGCCUGGAAGAGCGCGACGAGCAGCGAAGCAAGUCGGUCGUGGGGCUGGAGCAGCAGCACCACAGCCUCCUCGAGCCCCUGUUCUCAUAUCCUAUCCGUGCGAGCAUGGGAAAUAGCAGAGGAGCACGCACGUGUUGACGUCCGGGGAGUCAGAGGGGAGGCGGCCUACCGGUGGAGCGCGGUGAGCAGUGGAUCCGGUCGGUCGUGGGGCUGAAGCAUCAGCGCCGCCGCUUCCUCCUUUCCUUUAUCAAAGCUGAAGUGGUGUCGUCGACGUCGUCGUUGAUGGUGGCGGUCAUGUUGCCUGGGACGCCGUCAACACGCCGGUGCUGCCGCUGCUGGUGGAACUAUGCAAGUCGCUGCUGGUGCAACACUGCUGCUCAUGGUGCCCAACGUCGUCGGCGUGCAACUCUCCUACCUUCUGCCCACCGGCUCACCCGGCAACGUCGAUGGUUCAACAACAUGGUGAUCACCCGAAUGCCCAUCAAAAUUGUUGGCAUGUGUUGCGGCUCUCAUGGUCCUACUGCCAACGGUGGGCGUCCAAGAGGCACUUGACCGCUGUGGCAUCCCUCGUCCUCAAACUGCGCCGGUUCGGCGGCCGCUCUGGCAUGCACGUCCCAGCGGUAGGUGGGCGAAUUCAGCUGAAGGAGCCGGAGUAUACUUCCCCCUUCUCAGUGCUUUUGAUUACAGUGAUUAGAGUCAGUAGGUAUAUUUCCCCCUUCUCAGUGCUUUUGAUUACAGUGAUUAGAGUCAGUAGGACCCCUCCAACGUGCCAAAGAUUAGCACAUGGAGCUACCGGAGCCGGACGGCCCAACCCCACCGCCAACAGAAAAGCGCACGAUGGUGCAUGGAGUCAUCAUCCAUGUUGGAUCGGUGGAGGAUCACAUCACCACACGUUGUCACAGCUUCACUUUCUGUGUUUUUGAUAAGGUUGAUGGCACCAACCCUUCUCCUUUCAAAGAUGGAGGUCACGGGUUUGCAGGGGGCAGGCUGGAGAUUUUUAGAUUUAAUUGUUUGAAUACGUAUAUUUCAUUUCAUAUUGUGUCAAGUCUUGCGUACUACUCCCUCCGCUCCAUCCGUUUCAAAUUUGUGAACGAAGGGGUGCUUCAUAUGAGCUUCUAUCUAUAAACUUUUGUCCGCAAUCUAUUUGUGAUAACUUCUCUCCAAGGUAGGAGCCACUUUUGUAUGCUUACUUCUCGUGAUUCA